rnacentral:rRNA from 1 species
CGGCGAGUGAGCGGCAAAGCUCAAUUUGAAUCUGGCACCUUCGGUGUCCGAGUUGUAAUUUGAAGAAGGUAACUUUGGAGUUGGCUCUUGUCUAUGUUCCUUGGAACAGGACGUCACAGAGGGUGAGAAUCCCGUGCGAUGAGAUGCCCAAUUCUAUGUAAAGUGCUUUCGAAGAGUCGAGUUGUUUGGGAAUGCAGCUCUAAGUGGGUGGUAAAUUCCAUCUAAAGCUAAAUAUUGGCGAGAGACCGAUAGCGAACAAGUACAGUGAUGGAAAGAUGAAAAGAACUUUGAAAAGAGAGUGAAAAAGUACGUGAAAUUGUUGAAAGGGAAGGGCUUGAGAUCAGACUUGGUAUUUUGCGAUCCUUUCCUUCUUGGUUGGGUUCCUCGCAGCUUACUGGGCCAGCAUCGGUUUGGAUGGUAGGAUAAUGACUAAGGAAUGUGGCUCUACUUCGGUGGAGUGUUAUAGCCUUGGUUGAUACUGCCUGUCUAGACCGAGGACUGCGUCUUUUGACUAGGAUGUUGGCAUAAUGAUCUUAAGCCACCCGUCUUGAAACCACGGACCA